rnacentral:tRNA from 1 species
GACCCUGUGGCUCAGUUGUUAGAGCAUGGUGUGUGCAACGCCAGGGUUGUGGGUUCGAUUCCCACGGGGGGCC